CAAAAAGAAAAACAACCAAACAAUACACUGUAAAUGCAGAAAACAUUAUUGUCAUUUUUUCUUCUUCAAAAGAUUAUCUAUUUUAAAUCCAUUCAAAAAAUUAGUGUCACGUAAGGUGUCAAAUCUGAUAUAGCUGACUUUUUUGUCGUUUCUAUCUAGUAUAGAUCAGUACAGUGAUUUCAUUUAUUUUUUACAAAAGAGAACAAUUAUUAUGAUGACUUGCAUAAUGCAUCGUGAAUAGUUAUAAUAACUAAAUUGAGUGACAGAUCGGGUGAUUUGCUGAUAAAUCAUGUUAUUAUGUUAUUAUCGUGGUUAACAAAUUGCGUAUCAUAUAUGUUUUCUGUCUACGAGAGCUGGAUUAGGAUGUUUGUAUAUAUCGCCAUGUUAUUUCGGUCAGUUCGGUACAUUGUCAACGAAGGAAAAACAAGAAGUUUUCGCACGAACGUUGCUUUUACUUUAUAAAACCGCCUCGGUGAUCUCGAGGUAGCGUCUUCGCCUCAAGUUAGGAGGUCGUCAGUUUGAACCCCGGCCGGGUCAAACAAAACCCUAUAAUUGAUAUGGAUUGCUUCUCCGCUAAGCACGCGGCAUUAGGAGUAAGAGCAAAGACUGAUCGGCUCGGAAUCAGAAUAAUAUGUCAUGGUAAGAUGACAUGUGUUUUUGUGGACUGUCACCUUGUGAACUAGCCCGUUAAAAAUCCGGCUCAGUCUGUCGGUCUAGUACAAGGGUUAAUAUUCAUAUUGCAUUAACAUAUUGUCGUCCUGAAUAUGCUUUAUUUAAAUUAAACAUCAAAUACCGUACUGUUACCACAUACGUGUAUCGCUUAGUGGUCAUUUCUGAAAAAAAAGAAUAUAAAUAUGCAUUAAUUUUGCAAACUAAAUUUGACAUGAAAAAUAUUCCGAAUGUCAAUAUUACAUGUAACCCACUUGAACACCCGGA
rnacentral:lncRNA from 1 species